GACGAACGCUGGCGGCGUGCUUAACACAUGCAAGUCGAGCGAAGCUCUCCUCUUCGGAGGAGAUGACUUAGCGGCGAACGGGUGAGUAACACGUGGGCAACCUGCCCUUAGCUCUGGGAUAAGCGAUGGAAACGUCGUCUAAUACCGGAUACGACACGGGACGGCAUCAUCACCGUGUGGAAAGAAUUUCGGCUAAGGAUGGGCCCGCGGCCUAUCAGCUUGUUGGUGGGGUAAUGGCCUACCAAGGCUUCGACGGGUAACCGGCCUGAGAGGGCGACCGGUCACACUGGGACUGAGACACGGCCCAGACUCCUACGGGAGGCAGCAGUGGGGAAUAUUGCACAAUGGGCGAAAGCCUGAUGCAGCAACGCCGCGUGAGGGAUGACGGCCUUCGGGUUGUAAACCUCUUUUAGUAGGGAAGAAGCGAAAGUGACGGUACCUGCAGAAAAAGCACCGGCUAACUACGUGCCAGCAGCCGCAGUAAAAC
rnacentral:rRNA from 1 species